rnacentral:rRNA from 1 species
UACGUAGGGUGCGAGCGUUGUCCGGAAUUAUUGGGCGUAAAGAGCUCGUAGGCGGUUUGUCGCGUCUGCUGUGAAAACUCGGGGCUUAACCCCGGGCCUGCAGUGGGUACGGGCAGACUAGAGUGCGGUAGGGGAGACUGGAAUUCCUGGUGUAGCGGUGAAAUGCGCAGAUAUCAGGAGGAACACCGGUGGCGAAGGCGGGUCUCUGGGCCGUAACUGACGCUGAGGAGCGAAAGCCAGGGGAGCAAACGGG